CAUCAAGAGGGUUUGGAAAGUCGCCAAAUUUAGUGAGAAAGUCGCCAAGUUGGCAGCACUGAAUGUAAACACACGCAACGUGAAUCACCCAUGCACAGCCCUGUACGAAACCGAACGUCCCGUACCGAAAAGGGUUCAAUACAAAUACAUGUAUCAUUACACCCUUAGUAUUUACAAACAGACU